GAAAUUUAGGAUUUUAAAAAUGGUGCAGAUUGAGCAGAUCUAUAAGCACUUAAAAAUCUUGAAAAUAGAUGGUCCAGAUAACUUGUUACAAGAUGCACUAAUUUUAGGACUUGAAAUUC
rnacentral:pre_miRNA from 1 species